rnacentral:rRNA from 1 species
UUGAACGCUGGCGGCAUGCCUAACACAUGCAAGUCGAACGGCAGCGCGGGCUUCGGCCUGGCGGCGAGUGGCGGACGGGUGAGGAAUACAUAGGAAUCUGCCCAGUCGUGGGGGAUAACCCGGGGAAACCCGGACUAAUACCGCAUACGACGGUGACGUGAAAGCCGGGGACCUUCGGGCCUGGCGCGAUUGGAUGAGCCUAUGUCGGAUUAGCUAGUUGGCGGGGUAAAGGCCCACCAAGGCGACGAUCCGUAGCUGGUCUGAGAGGAUGAUCAGCCACACUGGGACUGAGACACGGCCCAGACUCCUACGGGAGGCAGCAAUGGGGAAUAUUGGACAAUGGGCGCAAGCCUGAUCCAGCAAUGCCGCGUGGGUGAAGAAGGCCUUCGGGUUGUAAAGCCCUUUUGUACGGGAAGAAAUCAUCCGGGUUAAUACCCUGGGUGGAUGACGGUACCGUAAGAAUAAGCACCGGCUAACUUCGUGC